AAACUUCUGAAUGACUGGGAUCUCACUACUUUCUUUUAUUAAUAAUUUCUAAGUUUAUUAUGUUAUAGUCCAGGAAAAUAGCCUAUUCUGUUGCUACUUUUUUGAAAUGUAUCACAGCCUGUUUUCUUUUUUUCUUUUUGUUUGAGGCAAUAUAUAAGAUCCAUUAUUGUAACUAAUUCAUGGAUACUUGUUGUCUUCUUAGUUUAUUAGUGUUCAUAUCCAGUAUGUACUUACUUAUUUUCAAUUUUCUCUUUUUAAUUUAUUUUCAGGGCAAAUUUAUUCGGAUCAACUUUGAUGUAACUGGCUAUAUCGUUGGGGCCAACAUUGAAACAUACCUUCUGGAAAAGUCUCGUGCUGUUCGUCAAGCAAAAGAUGAACGUACUUUUCAUAUCUUUUACCAGUUGUUAUCUGGAGCAGGAGAACACCUAAAGUCUGAUUUGCUUCUUGAAGGAUUUAAUAACUACAGGUUUCUCUCCAAUGGCUAUAUUCCUAUUCCGGGACAGCAAGACAAAGAUAAUUUCCAGGAGACCAUGGAAGCAAUGCAUAUAAUGGGCUUCUCCCAUGAAGAGAUUCUGUCAAUGCUUAAAGUAGUAUCUUCAGUGCUACAGUUUGGAAAUAUUUCUUUCAAAAAGGAGAGAAAUACUGAUCAAGCUUCCAUGCCAGAAAAUACAGUUGCGCAGAAGCUCUGCCAUCUUCUUGGGAUGAAUGU
rnacentral:sRNA from 1 species